GAUGAACGCUAGCGGCAGGCUUAACACAUGCAAGUCGAGGGGUAGAAGGAGCUUGCUCCUUUGAGACCGGCGCACGGGUGCGUAACGCGUAUGCAAUCUACCUUUUGCAGAGGGAUAGCCCAGAGAAAUUUGGAUUAAUACCUCAUAGUAUGUGAGGAUGGCAUCAUUUUCACAUUAAAGUCACAACGGCAAAAGAUGAGCAUGCGUCCCAUUAGCUAGUUGGUAAGGUAACGGCUUACCAAGGCUACGAUGGGUAGGGGUCCUGAGAGGGAGAUCCCCCACACUGGUACUGAGACACGGACCAGACUCCUACGGGAGGCAGCAGUGAGGAAUAUUGGACAAUGGGCGCAAGCCUGAUCCAGCCAUGCCGCGUGCAGGAUGACGGUCCUAUGGAUUGUAAACUGCUUUUGUACAGGAAGAAACACUACUUCGUGAAGUAGCUUGACGGUACUGUAAGAAUAAGGAUCGGCUAACUCCGU
rnacentral:rRNA from 1 species